AGAUCUCUUGUAUCAGCAUGUAAAAAUCCUUUUGUUUUAAGACCUUUGACUCUCUUUAACUUGAAGAGAGUUCAUCCAGAAACAGCUCUUGGAGUCCUCUUGGUGGAGCUGGCUGUGGAUGCAAUUUGUUUCUGUUGUUAUGGUCAUCCUGUAGCGAUUUUUAGCAGGGCCCACUUUGUCUCUCAGAUGAAGUUUGGAGAUUGAAGAGAAAUUAGAAGCAUCUGAAAACGGAUUGUCAUACUCUUCCAUGCACAUUGUCAUCUGCUGUUUAUAAAGAAAAUUGACGUGGGCAUCCACUUAUAUUCAAACAGUAUCUGGAACAGAAGGCAACUUUCUCAAACAUCAUUGAUCUUAAAGGAGCCUUGCACAGAGGCGCUUUUCUUACCUUGCCAGGCUCAACGUGCAGUGCGUCUGUCAGCAGUGUUGGAGUUGGUACCACAGGACUGCCGUGAAAACCGCAGUGAGGUGUCCAAGGUAAGCAAUGAGAGAAGCUUCAUGGGACAGGAACUGAAGGAACUUAUGUACCAAGAGGGCUUACAUGAGGUACAGGAGAAUUUACAAUACCCUGGGCGAGAGUACCUCUUCAUGUGAGCUAAGAUGCAGUUUGUGAACCCCCAAUGGACCUGGAGGUUUCUUCAAUUUGGUCACAGGUACUGGAUGGCUUUUGGCCCCAAGGGCGUGCCUGAGGGCAACACAAACAUUGCCUCUCAUUAGGUAUUGCAUCUUGUAUCCUGCCUGUUUGUGCAGAGAUGUCCUGUUCACUGAACUAAGCAU